rnacentral:lncRNA from 10 species
CCAGGGUUUGAAUUCCAAAGCCGGUGCUCACCAAACCACUUCGGAUCCUUUCCAGAAAGCCAGGCGGCCCCCAGAAGGCGCCAUGUGUAGAGUUCCUACUAUGUGGCGGGCACUGCGAUGGAAACGCAGGGGCUGCGGAGUCAAUCCUGCUGCUCCCUUGCCAGCUCUGUGACCUCGGGAAAGCACCUUCGCCCUCAUGGGCCUCAAUUUCCGCUUCUAUGAAAUGCGAGAAUAACUCCCAUGCUGCCAGCUACAACAGAGUGGAUGCUGUUGUGGCCCCAGGGCCUGCCAACUUUCUCCAAGAGGAAAUGGGGCUGAGGAUGAGACAACAGCUAUUUAUUUGAAGGCACCACCGCUGUCUUGCCUUUAGUCAGACUCUGCCGGCCUCUGAAGCCGAAGAGAGCACGUAGGAGGAGGAGAAAGGGUAGGUAGAGCAGAAGGCCUUCCCUGGGGAGACCUUCCCUCUUCACACAAAGAAAGAGGCUGCCCCGGACCUCCUUCUCAGCCCCCAACCUCGCCCUCCAAUCCCUGUGCCGGGAGGGAGGGCGCAUACUCAUGAGGGUGUGCAGUGUCCACACAAGUGCCUACGUGAACAACUGCACUACAGGCCAUUGGUUUGCACUCUCAUUCUGCAACCUAAUAGCUUAACCUUCCAAGGCUCUCUCGCUUUCUUUUUUCAUCUUGUAAAAUGGAGAUCAUUGUCUACCUCAUAAGAUUGCUAUGAGGAUCUUUGAGAGCUGUAGAUAGGUAAAGGCCUUUGCAC